UAAAAACCAAACAGUAGAAGAAGAAGAAGAAGAACUUUCGGUUUGUUUGUGUCGUAUCAAGAAAAAAAUCUGCGGGUUUGUAAACCCAGCAGCUGGCCUCCAGUCAGUCUGUGACCUUUGCAGAAGAGUGACAUCAUGGGGGCCUCACCAUCCACUCAGUCUGAGCCACACAGCAACGUCGCUGAACUCUUCGUCUCAUCUUUGAGGUUGCUCGCAGAGGAGCUGAGGAGACAAGAGGAGAUGAAGAGACGUGAGGAGGAGAUGA